rnacentral:rRNA from 1 species
UACGAAGGGGGCGAGCGUUGUUCGGAAUUACUGGGCGUAAAGGGCGCGUAGGCGGCCGAUCAAGUCAGAUGUGAAAGUCCUGGGCUUAACCUGGGGGACUGCAUUUGAUACUGAUUGGCUUGAAUGCAGGAGAGGAUAGCGGAAUUCCCAGUGUAGAGGUGAAAUUCGUAGAUUAUUGGGGAAGAACACCGGUGGCGAAGGCGGCUAUCUGGGACUGUGAUU